CGUUAUCGUCGUCUGAUGGGAGAGGACGCGUGUUUCUGAGGACUUUUUAUUGUCGAUAGUAACAAAAAAACGUCUGAACAUUGCGCGUGCAUCGAAUUGAAUAAUGGAGUCUGGACCAGACAGUCUGUUUGUGACUCUCCUGCUUCUCCUCCACAGUUCACACUCUGAGUCUGAGAGGUUUGAGGUUCUUGGUCCAACCGAUACCAUUCUUGCUGUGGCUGGUGAUGACAUCAUUCUGCCCUGCUACCUCAAACCCAACAUCAGCGCUGAGGACAUGACAGUGGACUGGCUGAACCUGGACUUCAAAGAUGGUCGUGUCUAUCGUUACCAAAACAGAAAAAUCAUACGAGAGGAUCAGAUUCCCUCCUACAUUGGAAGAACGUCACUGUUUGAAGAGGAACUAUGGAGGGGCAACACCUCUUUAAAACUGUCCAGGGUACAAGGCACUGAUGAGGGACAUUACAAAUGCUUUAUUAAGGCAAAGAGCUGGGAUCAUGAUCUCAUUAUUCAAGUCCUCGUUAAAGCUGUAGGAUCCAAGCCAGUGGUGUCCAUCGAGGGACACAGAGAGGGAGGGAUGGGUCUGCUGUGUGAAUCAGAAGGCUGGCACCCUGAGCCUGAGCUGGUGUGGCUGAACAGUAAAGGAGUCCAUCUCUUUGCUGGUCCUCCUGAGAUACAUAGAGACUUCAAGGGAUUCUACACAGUCAAACAACAUGUCAUUGUCCAGGAGACUGACACCAACCGCUUUACCUGCAGAGUCCAACAGAGCCAGAUCAAUGAGAAGAUGGAGACAGAGGUUCACCUCCCUAGUGAGUUAUUUGAUACAACCCCAUUGAGAAUGGCCUUCAUUGUGUUAUGCUGUCUGGGAGCCAUCAUUGGGAUUGGGUUAUCUCUGGCUAUCUGCUGGAUAUCUUAUAAGAAAGAUGACCUCACUAGGAAGCUAGAUGACCUCACUAGGAAGCUAGAUGAACUCAAGGCAGAAAAGGAGGUCCUCAGGAUGGAGAAUGAGGACUUCAAGAAGAAGUUUAACUUCGAGAACCUCUGGAACCAGAAUAAUGACAUCACUAAGAAGCUAGAGGAACUCAUUAGGAAGUUAGAUGACAACAAGAAGGGGAGCAGUAAGUAGUGUCUCCAGAUCAUCACUUUACUAAAAUUAUGUCAACCAUUUCAUGUUUUUACUUUUUUCCAGAGCACGUUAAAGAGGUUCUUUCUGAUGUUAGAACAGAAAACUAACUUUUGGCUGUCUUUUUGAGUGGGUGAAUAUACUGUAGGUUGUAAUCUCAUUGAUCAAAAUCUCAACCAAAUAUUACCCAAUUAUCCACGUUAAAAUUACCGGGUGUGCCCAGUGGGGGCGGCAGGUAGCCUAGUGGGCCAGUAACCGAAAGGUUGCUGGCUCAAAUCCCCGAGCUGACAAGGUAAAAAUCUGUUGUUCAGCCCUUGAGCAAGGCAGGUAACCCACUGUUCCCCGGGUGCUGAAGACAUGUAUGUCAAUUAACGCAGUCCCCUGCACCUCUCUGAUUCAGAGGAGUUGGGGUAAAUGCGGAAAACACAUUUUGGUUGGAAACUCACUAGGCAUCCCCCUUUCACCUGUGGGUUGUUUCUGACACACCUGAAUAACUGAUGGACCAGUCACAUUAAUGUUGAUGUGCUAGAACAGGAUGUGUUGAGGCUGUAGAGGCCCACUAGACUAGAGAGAGGUAGUAUCUGAUACACCUGGAUCACUGAUGGACCAGUCACAUAAAUGUUGAUGUGUGUGUUGAGGCUGUAGAGGACCACUAGACUAGAGAGAGGUAGUAUCUGAUACACCUGGAUCACUGAUGGACCAGUCACAUAAAUGUUGAUGUGUGUGUUGAGGCUGUAGAGGACCACUAGACUAGAGAGAGGUAGAAUCUGAUAUACCUGGAUCACUGAUGGACCAGUCACAUUAAUGUUGAUGUUCUAGAACAGGAUGUGUUGAGGCUGUAGAGGACCACUAGACUAGAGAGAGGUAGUAUCUGAUACACCUGGAUCACUGAUGGACCAGUCACAUUAAUGUUGAUGUUCUAGAACAGGAGGUGUUGAGGCUGUAGAGGACCACUAGACUAGAGAGAGGUAGAAUCUGAUACACCUGGAUCACUGAUGGACCAGUCACAUUAAUGUUGAUGUGCUAGAACAGGAUGUGUUGAGGCUAUAGAGGCCCACUAGACUAGAGAGAGGUAGUAUCUGAUACACCUGGAUCACUGAUGGACCAGUCACAUUAAUGUUGAUGUUCUAGAACAGGAUGUGUUGAGCCUGUAGAGGACCACUAGACUAGAGAGAGGUAGAAUCUGAUACACCUGGAUCACUGAUGGACCAGUCACAUAAAUGUUGAUGUGUGUGUUGAGGCUGUAGAGGACCACUAGACUAUAGAGAGGUAGAAUCUGAUAUACCUGGAUCACUGAUGGACCAGUCACAUUAAUGUUGAUGUUCUAGAACAGGAUGUGUUGAGGCUGUAGAGGACCACUAGACUAGAGAGAGGUAGUAUCUGAUACACCUGGAUCACUGAUGGACCAGUCACAUUAAUGUUGAUGUUCUAGAACAGGAUGUGUUGAAGUUGUAGAGGCCCACUAGACUAGAGAGAGGUAGUAUCUGAUACACCUGGAUCACUGAUGGACCAGUCACAUUUAAUGAAUGAAAUUAAGAAGGGGUGGUGUGUAGAAUAUAUUUUGGAGAAAUUGUCUCUCAGAGGUACGCUGGACUCAUUUAGGUGGUGGAACUCAAUUAGGAUUUGUGACAUUAGACAAGUGAUAUGAGACAAGGAGUCCCAGAGAGAGACUACAUCUUCUAGUGUUCAUGUUAAUGAUGUUCUCACUGUCUUCCAUCUACUCUACAUGUUUACAGAUGACAACAAGAAGGGGAGCAGUAAGUAGUGUCUCCAGAUCAUCACUUUGAUAACAUUAUGUCAACCAAUAUCGAUUAUAUGUACCUUCUAAAGAAGUAGAAAACACAAUGUUGUACACAUUAAUGUUCCCUGGCUUUUAUCUUCUUAUAUAUGUCUACAGAUGUGGUUGAGGAGGAUCUCAUUCGUAAUCUGGAGGGGCCUCGGGAAGGAGAGGGGUAAGUACAGUACAUACAUACAAACAUGAUAUCCCACUGUCUUAUCAUUGUCAAUGUCCUUAGACCAUAUAGAACAGGAUGUGUUGAGUAUGUAGAGGCCCACUAGACUCUAAUAGAAGUUUCCUGGAGGCACCUUUAGAGGUGAUUACUCAGAUUGCAACAAUGGCAACAAGGUGCUUCCAGGAAACUUAUCCAUAUGGAUCCUUUUAAAAGGGGUGUUACGUUUCCUGUAGGAACCUUUUAUGUCCCAUGUUCUAUGUUAAUAAUAAUAAUAAUAUUAAUAGAUGGUAACUUAACAAGUAAAGUUUUGGGCAUGCUAAAGCUCUUUUUUUGUGGUAGUCUUAGAAGUUUAAACAUUUUACUUGACUAUGUAAAGCAAAAAAGUAUUUAUGGUUUUGAAAAACUCUAUAGUCGUGGUAGUGUCUGCAGUAGUAAUUGUGGUGUCUGGUUAUAGUUGAAAUAGUAGGUAGAUGUGUCACGUUCUGACCUUUAUUUCCUUUGUUUUGUCUUUAUUUAGUAUGGUCAGGGCGUGAGUUGGGGUGGGCAGUCUGUGUGUUUUUCUAUGUUGGGGUUUUGAGUUCGGCC